CGGUUGAUCCUGCCGGACCCGACUGCUAUUUGGGUGAGAAUAAGCCAUGCGAGUUGAAUGGGAUACCUAAAUUUCCCAUAGCAAACUGCUUAGCAUCACAUGAUCAACUUGCCCUAUGGAGAAAAAUAACCUCGGGAAACUGAGGAUAAUGUUUCAUAGUUGAAAAGGCUUGGAAAAGUUUUUCAAUGAAAGGAAUAAGAAAAAUGGGUCUUAUUCGCCAUAGGAUAGGAUCGUGGUCGAUUAUGGUAGUUGGUGAGGUAACGGCUCACCAAGCCGAUAAUCGAUAGGGGCCGUGAGAGCGGGAGCCCUAAGAUGGGUACUGAGACAGCGACCCAGGCCUUACGAGGCGCAGCAGGCGCGAAACCUCCGCAAUACACGAAAGUGUGAUGGGGUUACCCAAAGUGUUCUCUUUAGAACUGUGGUAGGUGAGUAAUGUCCCCUACUAGAAAGGAGAGGGCAAGGCUGGUGCCAGCCGCCGCGGUAAAACCAGCUCUUCAAGUGGUCGGGAUAAUUAUUGGGCUUAAAGUGUCCGUAGCCGGUUUAGUUAGUUCCUGGUAAAAUCGGGUAGCUUAACUAUCUGCAUGCUAGGAAUACUGCUAUACUAGAGGGCGGGAGAAGUCUGAGGUACUACAGGGGUAGGGGUGAAAUCUUAUAAUCCUUGUAGGACCACCAGUGGCGAAGGCGUCAGACUGGAACGCGCCUGACGGUGAGGGACGAAAGCCAGGGGAGCGAACCGGAUUAGAUACGUCGGUGCUAGAUUAAUCUAAUAAGAUCUAACAUCACGCUAAAAACCCGGGUAGUCCUGGCCGUGAACGAUGCAUACUAGGUGAUGGUACGGCCAUGAGCCGUAACAGUGCCGUAGGGAAACCGUUAAGUGUGCCGCCUGGGAAGUACGGUCGCAAGGCUAAAACUUAAAGGAAUUGGCGGGGGAGCAC
rnacentral:rRNA from 1 species